CCUACGGGGGGCAGCAGUGAGGAAUAUUGGUCCAUGGGCGCGAGCCUGAACCAGCCAAGUAGCGUGAAGGAUGACUGCCCUACGGGUUGUAGACUUCUUUUAUAAGGGAAUAAAGUGAGCCACGCGUGCCUUUUUGUAUGUACUUUAUGAAUAAGGAUCGGCUAACUCCGUGCCAGCAGCCGCGGUAAUACGGAGGAUCCGAGCGUUAGCCGGAUUUCUUGGGUUUAAAGGGUGCGUAGAGGGGUUGUUAAGUCAGGUGUGAAAGUUUGCGGCUCAACCGUAAAAUUGCAAUUGAUACUGGCAGCCGUGAGUACAGGAGAGGUAGGCGGAAUUCGUGGUGUAGCGGUGAAAUGCUUAGAUAUCACGAAGAACUCCGAUUGCGAAGGCAGCCUACUAAACUGCCACUGACAUUGAUGCUCGAAAGUGUGGGUAUCAAACAGGAUUAGAUACCCCUGUAGUC
rnacentral:rRNA from 1 species